GUGGCGAACGGCUGAGGAACACCUGCGUCACCUGCCUUCUUGUGGGGAAUACCGGCUGGAAACAGCCGACAAUACCGCGUACGCUUGCUAUGAGCAAAAAAAACCCUUUGAGGCGCGGGGAGCGGGGCGCUCGGCCCAUCAGGUGGUUGGCGGGGUAACGGCCCACCAAGCCGAUGACGGGUCGCUGGUCUGAGAGGAUGACCAGCCAGACUGGAACUGCGACACGGUCCAGACACCUACGGGUGGCAGCAGCAAGGAAUUUUCCGCAAUGGGCGCAAGCCCGACGGAGUAA
rnacentral:rRNA from 1 species